ACCUGUUUGCAUUAGAAAGUGAUAACAGAGGGAAAGAAAAGUAGAUGGAAAUAGAGGGAAAUUUAGAAUAUAUUCCAAUCCAAAAAACACCUGUGCUACUUGAAAGUUAAAAGAGAAAUCAAAUUUGCAGGCUCACAAGGAUAGAGAGGAACAGUUUUCCCACAAAAUCAUGAUGAAAUUAGUACCCAAAAAAGAAGAAAAGAAUAUGGACCUAUUCUUUUCCCAAUGAAUUUUGGAUCCAAAUCGUUUAAAAACCUUUUCUUGUCAUUUCAGGAUUUAAAGUUGUUCUGAUAAUCACCCCCAGAAACCGAAUGUAAUAAUGGGAUACCCAUCACUUGGACCCACAUCCCUUACGACUUUGUCCACUACCUCCUUUAGAUCUUCACGAAUUAGCAAAUGGAUUUAGGGUUAAUAAUAAAGAAUAUGGACCUAUUGGAUAUAUUGAAAUUAAUAUUUAGUUGAAUUAAAUAUUAAAUCACAGAAUAAUUACUUUUUUUUAUAUACCUACACGUGACAAAUAGCCUCUGCAACCUAUCACAUGAAUUUGAUGUGCUUAAUUAAUUAAUAUGAAAGUUGCAUGAUGAUGAGUCAUUUAUAGAGAUAAUUAUGUGGUCUUGAUAAAAGUGUACUAAAGAUAGUCUAUUGCUUCCUAAUUAAUUAUGAUGCCCUACAAAGUGUGCCUUUAUGAAUGGAUUUUUAUGUUUGCUGGUUUUGAAUGCUUUUCUAAGUAUGAUUGCACCCAAGUCAAUAAAGUUGAUAUAAUUUGGUGGCAACCCAUUAUUUUGUUGCUUUAUUAACCAAGUCAUCAGCUGACUUCAAUCACUUCUUUUACCUAAUCUAAGUAAUUAAUUGACAUUAUAUAUCAGUUUUGUAAUAGACAUUUAUUUAUUUAUUUUAAUUUUUU
rnacentral:misc_RNA from 1 species